GCUCAGCACAUCGUACUCAUGAGGCCCAGGCUCUGAUACCAAUUGUAACAUUCUCUGGGCCCACAACAGUAGAUAUUGUCCGCUUUUGGGUUCGAGGGCCUUGGCCCAGCCUUCCCCUCACGGUUUUGUUUCUAAGGGUUCACGCAAGCGUCCUUCCCCUCAAAACGCGUCUACUGUGGUCUCUUGGGGCUUGCCCUUAUAAGGCGUCCCCCCUCCUUACCUCUUUCCGAUGUGGGAUACUUUCAAUCCACCUCAUAGGGCUUCUACCCCCCAUAAGGCCUGAGCGUCCUCGCUCAGCACACCGNNNN
rnacentral:lncRNA from 1 species